AUUCUCUCUAAAGUAACCUAUCUCAUUCCCUCAACCUCUUCUCUUAGCCUCACCCUCUCUCUUCUCGUCUUUUUAUCUCCCUCACAUCUAACCUCUCAGAUUUCUUUCCAAGUAUUCUCUUGCAGGUGGCUGGCGUAGGAGUCUCGACGGAGAUAGCGACGACGACGGCGACGGGGCUUGACCGAAUAAUCAACACUCUAGGUGCGAAGGAGUGGAUGCACCAAUCUGGGUGCUUAGCAGAGGAGUGGCUUCGACGGUGCCGUGGGUGCGUCUGGGAUGGAGGUAUUUUUUUCUCUUUUUUUCCUUUCUAAAAUCUGAGUUUAUAAUUUAAUGUUUUAAGUUGAUUUUUAGGUCAUUGGGUAUGAACGGAUCUGUUUUGAUUUCAAAAUUGUUUAUACUUGUUUUUUUGUUUGAUUUUUUAUAGCGUUUGUCGUGUUUGGUGUGUAUGGGAUUUUGACUUUUUUGUUUACGAGUAAUUUGUAUUUGUGAACUCUUUAGCUCUUGCCUCUAUCACCAUCUAUCUCACACUUAUUAUCUCUCUCUCUGUCUCACUAUCAUUAGAAUCAGGCUGCAGACCCUGACAGAUCCUUUGACCAAAUCUUAUACAACUCAUAGUGAAUGCUCAAUUGAAUUUAAAGUGGAUGGACCAUACAAGGAAAUGAUUAUUCCAGCUUCAAAAGAAGAGGGAAUUUUGAUUAAGAAGCGAUAUGCAGUUUUCAACGAUGAUGGGACCCUUGCUGAACUUAAAGGUUUUGAAAUUAAGCGUAGAGGCUGAGCUUUUCGACAAGUUUCUCAAUGGCUCAACCUUAGUGGAAUGUUAUUCAGCUGUUGCUUCUGUUGCCAACCGCUAGCUUGAUCUUCUUGAUAAUCAAGGAAAGGAUAUUGCGGACAGUGAGUUGCUCGAUUAUAUAUCUGAAUCAAGUACCAUGAGCAAGUCUCUAGCAGACUACGGUGGGCAGAAGUCAUGUGCAGUGACCACUGCAAAACAUCUUGCUGAUUUUCUAGGUGAUGCAAUGGUCAAAGAUAAAGGGCUUCGUUGUCAAUAUAUUGUUGCAUGUGAACCUAAGGCAAUCUGUUGUGGUAGGUGUCAUUGUUACUUUGACCCCACCUCCGGCCAUUGUCGGUGUCCACUUCCCAAAGUCAUCAUCGACAUUCACAAUAAGUUCAGUCACAGAAAAGGAGGCUCUCAUGCAAUGAUUCCAAAGUGAAGAAUAGGAAGAAUGUCAAGAAAAAUGACACUAUUGAGUUUUCAAUGACCUAAACAUAAUGUAUAGAUAUUUUUUUUAUGAAAUGUGCUUCUUAAUAAGCAAUGAAUAUUGUAUAAUAUAUGUUUGUUUAUUUUUUUAUUAAAGUUAAAUAAUUUAUU